rnacentral:tRNA from 2 species
CGGCACGUGGCGGAACUGGCAGACGCACCUGCCUCAAAAGCAGGAGACCACCUGGUCGUGCGGGUUCGAAUCCCGCCAUGCCGACCA